CACCGCCCGUCACACUAAGGGAGCUGGCCAUACCCAAAGUCGUUACCUUAACCGUAAGGAGGGGGAUGUCGAGGGAAGAGCUAGUGACUGGAGUAAGUCGUAACAAGGUAGUCGUAUACUGAAAGGUGCGGCUG
rnacentral:ncRNA from 1 species